rnacentral:rRNA from 1 species
UACAGAGGUCCCAAGCGUUGUUCGGAUUCACUGGGCGUAAAGGGUGCGCAGGUGGUCGGGUAAGUCUGAUGUGAAAUCCCGCAGCUUAACUGCGGAAUGGCAUUGGAUACUAUUUGGCUAGAGGGUUGGAGGGGGGACUGGAAUUCUCGGUGUAGCAGAGAAAUGCGUAGAUAUCGAGAGGAACACCAGUGGCGAAGGCGAGUCCCUGGACAACUCCUGACGCUGAGGCACGAAAGCUAGGGGAGCAAACAGG